CACAGUCAUCCCAUCGACUUUGUCAUUUCCUGAAGCAGUUGCUGAAGUUGUCUCUUGGGGGUAGUUUUAGUUCUGCUGUUGUGGCUGCUUUUCUGUCCUAAAUCAACUCAAAAUGUUUCUCUCUCAUGGUAAUUUUGACUGAGGAAGAGCCAGAAAGGACACAGUGCCAGACCUGUUCUUCAAGUUACAAGACCUGAAAUAGGAGACAUGCCUGUACUAUUCUGACCAGAACUCUAGAGAACAGAAAUUAAACCAUACUGACAAGGGGAUGAGAAUCA
rnacentral:lncRNA from 1 species